rnacentral:rRNA from 1 species
UACGAAGGGGGCUAGCGUUGCUCGGAAUUACUGGGCGUAAAGGGCGCGUAGGCGGAUGUUUAAGUCAGAGGUGAAAGCCCAGGGCUCAACCUUGGAACUGCCUUUGAUACUGGGCAUCUUGAGUACGGGAGAGGUGAGUGGAACUCCGAGUGUAGAGGUGAAAUUCGUAGAUAUUCGGAAGAACACCAGUGGCGAAGGCGGCUCACUGGCCCGGUACUGACGCUGAGGCACGAAAGCGUGGGGAGCAAACAGG